rnacentral:rRNA from 1 species
GACAGAGGGUGCAAACGUUGUUCGGAAUUACUGGGCGUAAAGGGCGCGUAGGCGGCCCCUUUUGUCGCGUGUGAAAGCCCCGGGCUCAACCUGGGAGGUGCGCGCGAAACGGGGGGGCUUGAGUUCGGGAGAGGAGCGUGGAAUUCCCAGUGUAGAGGUGAAAUUCGUAGAUAUUGGGAAGAACACCGGUGGCGAAGGCGGCGCUCUGGACCGAGACUGACGCUGAGGCACGAAAGCGUGGG